GGAGGGUUGUUUUGUUUUUGAAAGACUGUACACAGCCAUUGAGGACAUGCACUUGUCUCUUCUGCUCUGAACUCCGUCCUCCUCCCCCGGCAGGAGGAGCGCUUCCCUCUGGAGCAGCGCAUGGACCGGACGCGGCGGCGCGCACCCCCCGUGCCCGCUCCCGUGACGCACAGAUGCCGGAGCGGUGGCGACAGGCGCGCUCGUCUCGGUGGGACUGAAGACCGGAGACGGGGGAGGGAGAGAAGAUCACCCGGGUUCGGCGUCCAUCGCGGGAGGGCUCAGAACCGCGAGGCACGAUGCUCAGAGCGAGUCCAUCCGCGGGCAGCACGACUUGAGGAAGAAGAAGCUGCGGGUCCAUCCAUCCAUCCAUCCAUCCAUCCAUCCGGACACUUUUUUUCUUCUUCUUUUUUUUUUUUUUUUACACUCUCGCCCCCUCUUCCCCGCGUCGAUAGGGGAGAUAAGAAUCCAGUUUAUUCAACCCCCAGUUCCACGACCACGACCGGCCGGGAGGGCUCUCUGUUCACGGGUUCACGAUGUGGAGCGCCGGGGUCCUGCUGCUGCUGCCGGGGCUGCUGCUGCUGCUCCCCGCGUCCGGCGAACUCCAGCAGGAGACGGAGACGCGGAGGCUGCCGCCGCCGGGAAAGUUGGACUUCGGCUACGUGCCCGCGGGACUGUACGAGACGCUGGCCCACUACGAGCCGGGGCCGAUCGGGAUCCUGUUCCACAUGGUGCACACUUUCCUGCACGCGGUGCAGCCCAACGCCUUCCCGCAAGAUCUCAUUGUGAAACUGGCCAAGGACAAGUUUGGAGCCCUUCAGACGGAAUAUCAAAAGCCAGAGAACAUAGUGCUGACCCUCCAGGCCAUCUACUACGAGAUAGGCUUCCUCGUGUGCGCGGCCGUCGGCCUGCUGUUCACCGUCCUGCUGCCGCUGGUCGGCCUCUUCUUCUGCCUGUGCCGCUGCUGCGACAACUGCGGCGGCGAGAUGCACCAGCGCCAGAGGAAGAACGCCGACUGCCGGCGCGGCCUCCUCGGAACGCUGCUCUUCUCCACCUCGCUGGUCAUCACGAUCGGCGUGCUGUGUGCAUAUGCUGCCAACCAGAACUUGAGCUCUCAGGUGAAGAACAUACGCCGGCUGGUCAACAGCAACAUGAGGGACCUGCACACCUUCGCAAAUGACACGCCAAUGCAAAUCGAUUACCUCAUAUCUCAAUACGCCACAGCCAAGAAGAAAGUCAUCUAUGACCUGAAUCAUAUAGGCCCGUUGCUGGGCGGCAGGAUACACGAUCAGCUGGAUAAGGAGGUCCAUCCUGCCUUGGACCGAGUGCUCAACAUGGCCGGAGUGAAAAUCGAGAGAACCAUCAAAGCCAUGCGAGAGACCAAGGAGGCCCUGGAGAACGUCAGCGUGUCUUUGGAGGUCCUCCAGGAGGGAACGGGCAAACUCAACUUCAACCUGAGCCUGGUGCGCGCCGGCAUCAACCGCACCCUCAGCGACCCCGGCUGCCACGACGAGAAGUCGGACGCCACCACCGCCCAGCUGUGCCGCAACAUCCGCCAGUCGCUGUCGCAGCUGCACAUCGGCGCCAACUUCACACGGCUACCCAAUGUGAACGCUCAGCUGGAGAAGGUGAACGACGUGUUGAGAACGGACCUCGGCGCCGUCGUCCAGAGGGGCUACUCCUCCCUGAACGACACGCCGCACAUGGUCAUCGAACAGACCAGAAGCGUCGUGGAGAACGUGCAGAAUCUGGUGGACGGCAUUGGCCAGAACAUCAGCAGCUUUUCCAAGGCGUUCCCGGUGCAGAGCACCCUGUCCAACUUCACCAUCCUCAUCAGCCACACGCACGCUAAGAUCGAGGACUACUACCCCGAAAUUGACAAAAUGGACUUCUACAGGUGGAUCGGCUGCAUUGGUCUCUGCUGCGUGGUCGUGCUGGUCCUGGCCUUCAACUACCUCGGCCUGCUGUGCGGCACCCUGGGAUACGACAAGCACGCCUCGCCGACGACGCGCGGCUGCAUCUCCAACACGGGGGGGACCAUGCUCAUGGCCGGCGUCGGCUUCAGCUUCAUCUUCUCCUGGGUGCUGAUGGGGCUGGUGACCGUCCUGUUCCUGGCGGGGGGGAACAUGGAGAAACUAGGCUGCGAGCCGUUCCGCACCAGAGAGCUCUUCAAGGUGGUGGACACCCCGUACCUGGUCCACCCCGAGUGGAAGAACUUCAUCCCCGGCUACAUGUACAACGACUCCGACCUGGAGCUGACAGCAGAGAGCUUGUACAGUACUUGCAAAGAGAACAAAGGCAUCUACUUGGCCAUGCGUCUGGACAAAGUGUUCAACAUCUCGUCUUUCAUGAACACCACACUGUUCACUAAGGAUGUGGUGAGUCAGCUGGACAGCGUCAAGAUCGACCUGCGGGGAAUAAUCCUGUUAGAGGCCGAGGGGAAGCAGAACCUCCUGGACUUCUCCGAAGCGGGGCUGGCGGAAAUCAACUAUGCCGACUAUCUGGAAGAGGUGAACAAAGGCGUGACAGUGGUCGACCUGCUCUCAUAUGCCAGAGAGCUGGAGGCGCAGACGGACCUCAUGCCCAGAGGCGCUCUGCAAACCGCCCUGAAAGGCCACAGCGGCACCCUGCGACAGAUCCACAGUCAGCAGAUCACGCCCAUGGAGCAGGCCAUGAAAUAUGUUAGAGCGCGGAGUGCGUUGAACCAGAGUAUGAGGUUCCUGGAGAGAACAGCCUCCGAUCUGCCUAACAAAGUCUUGGCGGUUCUCGAAGCCAUCGAAGCUGCUCAGUAUCUCAUCUCCCGGAAUGCCACCCAUCUAAUCAAUCAGGAGUCGGGAAAAUACACAGCGACCAUAGUUGGCUACUUCCACCAGUACAUAGAAUGGGUGAAAACAUCCCUGGCGAUGGAGGUCGCGCCGUGCAAGCCCUUCAGCAACAUGGUGGACACGGCGGAAAUCAUAGCCUGUAGUUUCUUGGUCGACUCCAUGAACACCUUCUGGAUGGGCCUGGGCUGCAGCACUCUCUUCCUGCUGCCGAGCAUCGUCCUGGCAGUGCGACUGUCCAAGCACUACCGCAGGAUGGACACCGAGGACGUCUACGACGACAUUGAGACAAUUCCCAUGAAAACUAUGGAAAUUGGUAAUAAUGGUUAUCAUAGUGAGCGCUCACAAGGUAUCCCAAAUCCUGCGAUGGCAAGCAUCCCGACCUUUGACCCCGUUAACAGGUUCCCGCGGGCCUCGGCUCCCCCGAGGCACAUCGACUGGUGACAGAGAGCCUGGCUCCUGAAAGCGUAUUCUAGUCUCUUUUUUUUCUUUUCUUUUUUGUUCUGCUCACAGUGACUUUGCAGGAAAACCAGCAUGUGCCCUCAAAAACUGGAGCUAAAAUACCAUGUGUUUCACAAUCCCUCGGACCAGACAAAGCUCCACGAAAGCCGCCUUCCUCACAACGGAAGAACAACACACAAAGCCAUGCAGGUUAUCUGCAGCGAUCGAGUCGACCUGAAGUACACCUGCCGUACCUGCUCCCCGACGGCCCCUGACCUCCUCCGAGAAACUCUGCCUGCGGGACACAAAACUCUUCUCCCUCAGCGUCCAUCUGAGCCAGGCUUGCUCUGCAUUUAUUUUUUUUAUUUUUUUUUUUCAAAGGACUGCUGCGUUGUCUGCGUUUACAUUUGUUCAGACACAAAAAAACCAAGCCUGAAAAACACACCGGGCAAGAGGACAUGACAAUAAAGUGUGAUGCCUGUUCAUUUUGACGUACGAUGUUUGUGCUCCAGAGGGGACGGGACGGUCCCCUGAAGGCCACGUCAAGCUAGAUAUUUCUUUUCUCCUCCUGCACUUAAAACGGAUGCAUCGUGCAAAUGUAAAAAAAAGGGAAAAAAAGUGGAUGACUCAAACAAAGUGGUAAAGUAUAUAAAGAAAUGGAGAAAGGAAAAAACCAGGUGGUUGCCGGGUGGAUUUUUUUGGCGGAUUACUGUAUGGAAGGAAUUUAGCAUGACUUUUAAAAAUGUUUACAAUAUUAAGAAACAUGUAGAGAUUGACACCUAUGCUGGUUUGGAGCGCUUUGCAAAUGACUGGUUGCCUUUCAGAAGAUAGUCUCACCCUGGCAUUUUGACAGAUAUAUAUAUAUAUGCUCAUUUAACAAAAGGGGAAAUCCACCACCACUAUACAGUAGAUGCUCUUACACUGUUAAAAAUCAACAGUCAAUUUUUUUUGAUCACCUUCACAGCAAUGUUUUACAGCAAAAUGUCAAUAUGUCAUUUUCUUUUUAGAAAUCGCUAAUAUAUACAUCGAUGAGCUGAAAGUCCAAAGAGUGAUUUUUUUUUUUUAGACUUCUGUAACUCAACAUCCUGUCAUCAAACUUUGGCCAAUCAUCAUACUCCGAUAAAACGCCCCCACAUACAAUUACAAAUAGAUACCAAAUGUAAGCUACAUCCCUGAAUAGUGUUCUUUUUAACAGUGUUGGUACUUUGGGUGGGUUUUCCUUUUUAAAUCACACGAUAAACUCACAUUAUCACAUUAUGAAAGUGCGAGGCUUUUUAGAUUGUUCCUUAGGUGAUGGAUUGAUUAAAAAAAACAAAAAACGAUCACGCUGAUUUCACUAACAUGUCAUUUUUACUGAGCUCUGUCUUGCUUUCAUAGUGGUGAUACAUUAUUAUGACACUAUCAAGCCAAAUCCUUUUUUUUUAACUUUAGGUCUCAGGUCUUUACUGGUCUGACAGUUACAGUUGCUAAUUUUCUCUCUGCUUGUUAAAGCCCCACAGUAGCUACGGAUACAUUUGAAACCAUGGAACAAAUGAAUGUAUUCAAACGCUAUUUUCUAUUUUGUAUCGCUUGAUAUGACUGUCGGCUGAGAAGUUUGCUGUAAAUCUAUACUCGACUUGUCGGGCAAGCCAGUUCUCUCAUCCACCGCGCCUCCAUGUUUACAGGUUAGCUGCUGUCCGCGUAGUAAUGAUGGUGAAAGACUUAUUAGACAAUCCAUUCAUGGGACUAAGGGAGCACUGCCAAUCACAACGCAGAAACGAAGAAAGAAGGAUUUAAGGUUUGCACGACUGAUGGCGUCGAUGCCCGCUGUGGAAAAUAAUGUCCAUCUUAACAUUGAACUGUAACAGUGCAACUGCAAAAUAACAACUGACCUGCAAUACCAAUGAUACUGGAAUGAAAGCGUUAGAUUUUAAGACAAUAACUUAGCAAAGUGAGUAGGAUUUUCUUUGUUUAAUAAAGGGCUAACUUGCUUUUGAAAUAAAACUUUGAUUUCACUUAGGUGGAUCAAGUUAUUGAUUGGCAUUAAAAAUUGUUGGAAUUAUUUAACCUCUUAUGACAAUAACCUUGUGUCCAUGUAACUGAUCCAGGCCAGUUAGCUUAGAUAGCUGCUACUAAGCUAACCAACCUCUGUGCUUUAAAUAACCUUCAACUUGUUCAAAUUUAAUUUUUAACAUAUAUUACUUUGAUAUUACAAAUUUAUCUAUCCCAUGAAUUCAACAGAACAGUUUUUAAUAUUUUUAAAUGUGUUUUUUUUCCCUAGCCACACCAAUACACAAGUCACCACAUGCCUGGCUAGCUAGUUGUAGCUCCAGUUAGAACGUUUGUAUAUCAGAGGAAUAAUAUUCAUCUUAUCACCACAAGUUUGGAUUAUAUAUCUGUUUGAUUAAAUCAGUACAACAGAAAAAAAGUUAGCCUAACUACACCAUGGUUUACAAAAAAAUCUGAUUUUAAGUUGAAUUACGUUAAAAAACCAUUAUAGAAAUGGAAUAAAUACAAUUAGCUUUGAAUUUUUUGCUCUAUAUUCAAUUUUAAGAAAUAACUGCUGCUAGUUAUUUGAUCCACCAAUGCUUAUAUCAUUUUUACUUCUCAUACCUUUUCCUAUUUCAUGUAUUUUUGAUUACACAAACACAAUCCAUGCUAGUUAGCUAGAUGCUAAAGCUUUAUUCACAUUUUACCACCAUUUUUCAUCACAAUUUAAAGACCUAGCUCAAAAAAGCCUAUUUAGCACAGAUUGUUUUGGGUACAUACAUUUUUGGUCAUAGCUUAGCUAACUUACUGCUCACUGUUUUACAUAAGCCUAAAGCAGUUGAUAUUACUACACGAUACAGUAUUUUAUAAUAGUUGUAUUUACACAACAUAUCGAACUACACAACCCCUAACUCUGUGAAACUAGGAAAUCUUUAUCUUAGUGUUUUGUAAGUGUCAAAACAGCCUACAUUGGCAUGAGAUUAUUUUCUAAUGCUUUUACUGUGAUUUCCAGUUUAGUUGUUAAGAUGGAUAUUUUUGAAGCAGCUGUGUGCUCAGUUUGACCGGACUAUUUCUUGUCUGCUAGAGUCUGGAUGUGACCCAUGUGGCCCAAGGGGUAUGAUUUUACUAAGUGCUUAAACACGAUCUUGUGUGUCCAAACCUUGGACGUAUGCUGGCAGGACAGAUUCACAGUGGUCACUGGUUUGAACUGUGGAGCUCUGCAGCCUGGGCACUGAUGGAGCCACGUAAAAAGGAACCUCCUAUAUAUGGUGAUGAGAGAAAAAAAUAGUGUACAAAAUUGUGAAUAAACGUUGGCUUUCAGUUUGA